CAGUAGACUCCAGAGACCUCACCUGUGCAUUCAACAACCACCAAUUUUGAUGAAAGUGUAAAGGAACACAUAGACAAUUUGAUACUAAAGGUAGCAUGAGAUAACAACCAUGUGAGCUACACAAGUAAACUUUGUUGCUUUCCGUCUAACAGCUUAUUCGAGGAUUUUAGAAUUCAGAAUUUAUGCUGAAAGAGACUUGUUUCCAGUGGAGAUCUCCUGCAUGAACAGAAAAAUUAUUGACAAAAUAACUGCAGUAUAUCUUGCAAGCUCCAGCAGUUAAGGUCAUGAUGUCUCCACUAGUUCUUGCAUUAAUAGCUGAAUUUACAGCCGAUAAGAUUUGAUCCUGUUC